AGUACUAAGUUUUUUUUAAAUUAUCUAGUUUUUACUUAUAUUUUUGUACAACUACUUUAUUUAAUGCAACAGCCCAAACUGCACUACUUUAUAAUUCGGAGAUGUAGGAUCUAUAUACUAUAACCAGCUUGAGUCAGCAAAGAUUCUCAAGGAGUCGCCUAGAAAAGCAGAUGUCCAUAUGACCAGGAUCAUCAAUGCAGCCUUCAGACUUAAUUGUACCAAAAACUUGGAAGAUCGCUGAGGUCAUCAUGACACUGAGGUCCUCAAGCCUAUGUGGACAUAGAGCAUCUAUGAGGCUGUGCCAGCAUUACGAAUCAUCAAAUCAUACAGAUUUCAGAAUACAGUUAUGCUUAUGAUAUGCAUAGUCAAUGCACCCUGGUACAUCAGAAAUAAAGACCUCUACCAUGACCUCACAUAAAGCAACUAGCUCUAUAAAGCAACUUUAGCCCACCAAGGCUUAAAGGACAUAGAAGAAGCAGUCCACCUGUAGACACCUAGUCAGACGACUCAAAUACAACCAAGCCACGCCCACAAUUUAUUGCUGGUGCAGUGAUGUAGUGAAACAGCAAUUUAAGAACUUUCGAAGAUAACUUACUAGCUAUUAUAUUUCGUGGUCUACUGACCAAUACUUCUUUCAAUUAAUUAAUCAUUUCAUGUAAGGUUUUGGUUGAAAUAAAAACCUGUUAGCUAUGUUAAUAGCUAGAUUGUGGUAUUAAUAAAGACUCUUCACCUCUGAGGAUUGGAGGGACAAAAUAAGGGCAGGGGGUGGCUGCAACGGUUAGAACAAUGAUGUGGCCACUUGCAGGUUCAAUUUUAGGACUAUGAAAUAGUACUUAGUCCCCCCCCC